UGGUUAACGGCGGCUGAAUACGUAACGGUCCUAAGGUAGCAUAAUUCCUUGGCGGGUAAGCUCCGUCCUGCAUGAACGGUGUAACGACUACCUCUUUGUCGAUAGAAUAGACUCUUUGUAAAUAGAAUUAUCCAUGAAUAUGUGGACUACUGCGGCCCGACGGUAAGACCCUGAGCACCUUUACUUCCCU
rnacentral:rRNA from 3 species